CACGGAAGUCAUGGGAUCUCGCACUCGGACAGGAGCUCGCUCUCUCUCUCGCUGCCUGGCAGCGGGUGUGGGUGUGCUUCCAAGCAGUGCACCUUCAGUUCAAAAAUUGCACAGAAUCGCAGGUGCUGGAAGGGACCUUAAGAGAUCAGUGAGUCCAACCUGCUGCUAAAGUAGGUUCCCUACAAUGCAUCUCACAGUCCUCUGCAACUAUAUCUCCAAAGAGGGUCAUCCUGAUGAAUGGAGCUUUAUUCUGAGCCUCUGUGAGAGAGCCUAAUAAUUCAUGGUGAUGCAAUCCAUGUUUGAAAAUCUGUACCCUGAAGUUGCCAGUUGCAUAGCUUUAAGAGAUGAUGUUCAUUGGGCAGAAAGAUGCUUCUGGCUUUGGAUCUACAGACUAUGGGAUCAAAUCACUCUGAACUCAAGGGGUGCAUGGCUAAUAACUCUUUUUGCAUACUUUAUUACACAACGUACAACCAUUUCUUAUUGUACAAUCAACUUUGAUCCUGCUAAUAGCUCCUCAUUGUUAUGUUAGAUUACUUUCAAGUUAUGGGAGUAUUUUUCCAGACAUACUGUCCACUUUAUCUCUUUUGGGUGUGAACAAAUCAAUGUCUCCUCUUUUACCUAUUUAAUCAAAGCUUUUUUUCUUCUUUUAUAUGGGGUAUAGUUAAAUUAACUGAGAUGACCUGCAAAGUCAUUGCCAUCACCAUACUGGAUCAGAGAAUGUAGGCAGUGCACUACAAUCUACUUUAAUCUCAUUACAGACAUGUCACUCUUAGGCCUUCGCUGUGACUAGACAAUUAAAUACCAAUGGCUUUCUAAUGGAUUUACUACAAGGCAUUAGCUGAUGAAAAUUUUGCUGUGUUGCUGCUUCCUUUUCCUUAUAAUGAGGAACAAAAUGAUAUCAAAAGAAUCUGUUCAUUUAAUAGAUUUCAUAACAAUAUUUGUGGUAGUAGUGUAAGAGACUAUUCUUUUAUAUCAUUGACUCAAAGUUUGCUGAGGAACAAGUCCUGGGCAAAGGCAGAGAAAUCUUUUGUCUUGAGGACACUGAUGGACAGGUCCUGGCUAAGGAUUGUGAAAUCCUCUAAGGAGCACAGAUGGACAAGGCCAGGGGCAUCGAGAGAGAGAUAAGCUGCUGCUAAUGGCCGGGAAACGGUCUUUUUGUGUGGACUUAUCUCAAGGAAAAUGGCCAUCUCAGGAGGUAUGCACAGGACUCUUGCUCAAGCACCCAGGAAUGUCACGUAGGCAGCAGAAAAUGGAGGAUAAAAGAGGGUCCAAUAACCACAACGGUGGAAGCUGAUCCUUCACCACAACCACGGCAAUGGGAGAGGCUUAUCUCUCACCACGACAGACUUGAGGGGUUCUCUGCCAUCUGAUCUCUCACCACAACGUGGAGACGGAUCUCUACGUGGAGACUGAUCUCUCACCACGACACGAGCUUCCGAUCCUCCUCUACGGACCGUUUGCUGACGGACUUCCCUGGGCCCGCUACCUGAGACCUGCUGCUUCCUCCCUGACCUGCAUCCUCUCGCUGCCCCAGACCGGCCUCGCUGCUCCUGCCCUUCGGCCUCGGACCGUCGGAACGUCGUGCAACGGGACUGCUGCCGGAUCCUGGUGGUGACUAUCCCCGCUUUACGCAAUUCUUGCCUCUUUCUAUCUUUUCUAUCGCUCGCCUUCCCUUCCCCAUCACCCCAAUCCUUAAUAGCGUCCGUCCUCCCCUUUCCCCAUCUCCC
ensembl:lncRNA